GGUCAGAACGAACGCUGGCUGCGCGCUUAACACAUGCAAGUCGAGCGAGAACCGGUCCUUCGGGACCGGGGAAAGCUGCGAACGGGUGAGUAACACGUGGGCAAUCUGCCCUGCACUCUGGGACAAGCCCUGGAAACGGGGUCUAAUACCGGAUAUGAUCACCGGCCGCAUGGUCUGGUGAUGGAAAGCUCCGGCGGUGCAGGAUGAGCCCGCGGCCUAUCAGCUUGUUGGUGGGGUGAUGGCCUACCAAGGCGACUACGGGUAGCCGGCCUGAGAGGGUGACCGGCCACACUGGGACUGAGACACGGCCCACACUCCUACGGGAGGCAGCAGUGGG
rnacentral:rRNA from 1 species